rnacentral:rRNA from 1 species
UAGGGAAUAUUAGUAAUGGGCGAAAGCCUGAACUAGCAACGCCGCGUGUGCGAAGGAGGCCUUCGGGUUGUAAAGCACUUUUUGAGAGGAUGAGGAAGGACGGUACUCUCAGAAUAAGUCUCGGCUAACUACGCGCCAGCAGCCGCGGUAACACGUAGGAGGCGAACGUUAUCCGGAUUUACUGGGCGUAAAGCGCGUGUAGGUGGUUUGGUAAGUAGGGCGUGAAAGCACCUGGCUCAACUGGGAGAGGCCGUUCUAAACUGCCGAACUAGAGGAUGGUAGAGGGAGGUGGAAUUCCGGGUGUAGCGGUGGAAUGCGCAGAUAUCCGGAGGAACACCAGUGGCGAAAGCGGCCUCCUGGACCAUUCCUGACACUCAGACGCGAAAGCUAGGGUAGCAAACGG